GACGAACGCUGGCGGCGUGCUUAAUACAUGCAAGUCGAGCGAGAACCUAUUGAGGGGUAACCCUCGAUAGGGGACAGCGGCGAACGGGUGAGUAACACGUGGGUAACGUGCCCCAGACACUGGGAUAACAGCGGGAAACCGCUGCUAAUACCGGAUAACCCUCUUAGAGCGCAUGCUCGGAGAGGCAAAUGCUCCGGCGGUCUGGGAUCGGCCCGCGACGUAUCAGCUGUUGGUGGGGUAACGGCCUACCAAGGCAGUGACGCGUAGCUGGCGUGAGAGCGUGGCCAGCCACACUGGGACUGAGACACGGCCCAGACUCCUACGGGAGGCAGCAGUAGGGAAUCUUGCACAAUGGGCGCAAGCCUGAUGCAGCGACGCCGCGU
rnacentral:rRNA from 1 species